rnacentral:lncRNA from 12 species
AGGAUGUUUCAGGUUUUCUACUGCAUCCUCCACACUCAGAAGAAACCAGCUAAGCACUUCCCCAGUCACUAAAGACUUGGAAGCAGAGCUGAAGGUGACAGCCAAAGUGUUCUCCAUGGCCAGAAAAUGCAGACAAAAAGCUGCUUUUUCAUCUCCUUUGGACUACUGGGACAUAGGAGGUUCUGUGAUUGGCCAAGUGAUCAAAUCCUGGUGGUUUUGCAGCUCAGCAUCUGUAUUUCUCUGUCAAAUGGAAAUUCAAGAACGACUUUUCUCAUUAACCACAGAUGUUGCAGAUUUGAGGCUAGAUUCUUAUUUUUUUGUGGUCGGGGAAUGGGGGGGAGGUGGGAUUGAAAACUGCCAUUUUGAACCUGGACAAGAAGGAAAGGGUCCAGGUUCUCCAGAGCCAUCUCUGCCGGUCAUUUUCUUUGCCACACAGCAAGAGCCCUUGCUGAAAAUGGCAAGAAAGGUGAUUAUCCUCAUUUUUAGAUUUUUCUGAGUUUAAGGAGCAAGCAAGAGUGAGUUCUUAACGGUGCUUUUGGAGAGAAGAAUCUGAAAGAAAACUCGACAGUGCUUCUUAAUUUUUCCCUCUUUUAAUGACCACUGAAAAGCAUUGUAGCAUCAAGGCUUGCUGUUGAUAGAGCUCUCUAAGCAACUACUUUUAUUUAGUCAAAUCAAUUCACUACUUUUCAAGACCCGGAAUAACAUUUAUUAGUGGACAUUUAGGUGCCUGGAUAGAUGGCGAAGCUUACAUUCCAGGCAGAGAGAGACACAGGCAAAGUGUGCUAUAAAAUUGAGAUGACAGUAAUGUUGGAGUAGCUACGGGGGCCUAUGAAAGUGGGAAGGGAACUGGGGUCACAGAGUGCUUCCGUGCUUCCGGGCAAAGACAAUCACUCACCUGAGUUUUCAAGGAUGGGGAGCACCGGCCAGUUGAAGAAGUGGGGACUUGGGUCAGCAGGCAUUCCAGGUGAAGGGAGAAGUCGAGGUGACCAUUCAGAGGCUAAGAUGUUGGGGGUCUGUAGGCCAUUCCCGUUGGCACCACCACUGUUCAUCAGAGCGUAGGCCAGAGCAGCUGCUGAGUGACAGUCCGUGCUACGUGCAGCUCUAACAUUUUGGAAUAUAACCAGAUAAUCACAGACUAGGGACAUUUUCGGCCAUUGCAUGGCCUUUCUGGUCCUUUUGCACUGUUAACUGCUGUAUUCAUGCCUGAAGCAUUUCCAUGCUUUCACGUGAACUAAUAUAUAUAUAUUAUAUAUAUAUAUAUAAAAUAUAGAUGUUGUGUAACCAGAACAGCAGCACCUACGGGCAACUCUUCUUGCCACUAGUGAGGUGUGUUAUUGGCUGCUCCGUCUCAGCUACGCCAGCUGGAUUAUGUUGCUUCACUUUCCCACCAGAAGAAGGUUCCCUUUCUUCGAAGGCAAUAAAACAUUGUGACGAUUAUGACA